UGUAUAUUUUGUUGAAGUUUUACUUUUUUCCUUUUGAAUUGAUGUUUUCGGUAAAUCUUUGUAAAGGUUAGAGUUUUUUAUCUGUGAAGGGUAUAUUUACUGUAAUUUUGUCUCCUUUUCACAUAUUUGAUCACAUGUGUGACCAUAUUAUUACUAUUUUUUAACAUGGGGUUAGUUUUUUCAAAGGUCGAUAUGUAUCGAAAUUGGAGCAAGCUGUGUUUGAGUUAGAUAAGGACCAUUUCUCUUUGAUCAAAAUGAAAUCUUAUGCAAAGAACAUUGGGUAUGAUAAAGUUGAAGCUUUUUAUGUUGAAGACCCUACUACCCAUAAAUUUGUCUUGGUGGAAAGUGACAACCAACUAUAUAAUUGUGUUAAAGAAUUGAGGACUGGGUCAUUUUUAGGUUGUAUCUGAAACAUGUGAAUAUUUAAGAAGGGGGCCCCACUGUUGGCACUUUUUUGGGACCACUGGUUGGUGGAAAAAAUAAUGAAGAAUUGGGAGCUCUAAGGUUUCACAACUUGAGGAGUUAAGAUGACAUGUUCCAAGUUGGCCACAACAAAAGGGACUGCAAAUCAGUGCCUUCUCAACAGCCCAUUCAACAGUUCACUCAACAACCAUCAAGAUCAAGGCCAACAAGUCAUCCAAGCACUCAACAUUCCUCUUCUUUAUGUCCAGAAACUUCAAGAGUUAGAAGAAGCAGAAAACAGGCAGCAACUAGUUCAUCAAGUUCAAGGGCAGAAGUUGGUUCUUCAACUACAAGGGCAACAUCUUCUUCAAUUGGAAAAAAAGAACCAAGAGAUGUGGGAUUUGGUGUUUGCACAAACACACAAUAUGAAAGACAAGUGAUCGAUGUAUGUAUAUCUAUUAGCUAAUUUCCUUACAUAUGUAUAAUGUGAAGUGUAUAACGUUUAUGAAUUUUGCAGCCUGGGAGACCAAGUGAAAGAGUUAUCUCAAGUGGGGCAACAUUAAAGGAUGCAUCACUAACAACUAUUGAUCUAGGAUUCAAGCCACCUAGACUGAGGUGGAAAAAUAAAGAUGCUAUCACUGGAAACUAGCUUGAAGUAACGCAACAGUGUAAAAAGUUGGAAAUCAGAUCCAUAGCUAAGACUUGGCGGGCCAUAAGAGUUCAAGUUCAUUUGAUGUAAUUUUUGUAAACCCAAGUUCUAGCAGUUCUGGUGGCAUUUAGACUUGCCUUUAAACUAUUUAUUCCAACUACUUAACAUUUGGUCUUUUUGAUGUAUGUUUUGGUUUUUUUGAUGUAUGUUUGGCUUUUGGAUGUUUUGUGAAGCCUUCUGGUAAAAUUGGCAGAUUUAUGAAGAUAGUUUUAUGCAUAGUUUGAUUGAA